AAAGCUUGCUUUCAAAACAACUUAGCGGCGGACGGGUGAGUAACACGUAGGCAACCUGCCCUUCAGACUGGGAUAACUACCGGAAACGGUAGCUAAUACCGGAUAAUUUCUUUUUUCUCCUGAGAGAAGAAUGAAAGACGGAGCAAUCUGUCACUGAGGGAUGGGCCUGCGGCGCAUUAGCUAGUUGGUGGGGUAACGGCCCACCAAGGCGACGAUGCGUAGCCGACCUGAGAGGGUGAACGGCCACACUGGGACUGAGACACGGCCCAGACUCCUACGGGAGGCAGCAGUAGGGAAUCUUCCGCAAUGGGCGAAAGCCUGACGGAGCAACGCCGCGUGAGUGAUGAAGGUUUUCGGAUCGUAAAGCUCUGUUGCCAGGGAAGAACGUCCGGUAGAGUAACUGCUACCGGAGUGACGGUACCUGAGAAGAAAGCCCCGGCUAACUACGUGCCAGCAGCCGCGGUAAUACGUAGGGGGCAAGCGUUGUCCGGAAUUAUUGGGCGUAAAGCGCGCGCAGGCGGCUAUUUAAGUCUGGUGUUUAAACCUUGGGCUCAACCUGAGGUCGCACUGGAAACUGGGUGGCUUGAGUACAGAAGAGGAAAGUGGAAUUCCACGUGUAGCGGUGAAAUGCGUAGAUAUGUGGAGGAACACCAGUGGCGAAGGCGACUUUCUGGGCUGUAACUGACGCUGAGGCGCGAAAGCGUGGGGAGCAAAC
rnacentral:rRNA from 1 species